UUUUUAACAUGGCUAUAGAGUAUUUAAGUCAAAACCCGAAUGGAGGUGAACUAUUCCUGCAAAGAUUGAAGUCAGGGGAAACUCUGAUGGAAGAUCGUUGGCGUUAUUGAUGUGCAAAUCAUUUGCUUUAUGUAGGUAUAGGUGCGAAAGACUCAUCGAACCUCCUAAUAGCUGGUUUCCUCCGAAGUUUCCCUCAGGAUAGCUGUAACAUUUUUAAAUAGUUAAGGAUAGUAGAGAAAUGGGUAGAGGUGUAGUGGAACUACGGUUCUGCAACUUAUUUCCAAACUUCGAACGUUCUUGAUAUAAAAAAUUACCUAAUAGGAAUUUUUUAUUUAAAUAUAUGUUAUAAGUGGGCUCUGACCGGUAAGCGGUCAUGGCGAAAAGGGAUGAACCUAACGUAUAAAUAAGGUGCCUAAAUUUACUAACAAUGAAACCAUUAAAAGAGUCCAUGUAUUUAGACAGCGGGUCGGUGCCCCUAAAAGCAGGUAUCCGUUAAUGAGUGUGUUAAAACUCCCCCGCCGAAUACUCUGGCCUUGAAAAUGAAUGGCGCAUAUAGUAAUACCGAUAUUAUACAUUAAAAUUAUUUAAAAAUUUUAAAAGUAGGGGGAUGUGGAUAUCUUAGAGAAUUUUUAAUUGUAAAAUUGAAUUGAAAGAUAUCUAUUACAGAUCCUAAUUGAAGUAGCGAUUAUCCAGGUUAAUUUCCUGGGGGCUGAUGAGGAGUAGGGUUUCUGGGCAACUUAAACGGACCCAGAGUUAGUCGAUCCUAAUCAAAUUAAAUUUAGAGAAAGGGAAUAUGAAUGAUAUUUCAUAACUAAAAUUAAUUUUUAAAUGGUGACAUUUUUUUAAACUUAUUUCCAUCAAUUAAAUACUGUUUAAUAGGGAUUUCUUUCCUAUAUAACUUUUUAAUUAAAACUUAAGAAACAGGUUAACUGGAGAAUAAAGUUUUAAUUUAGUAAAAUUAUAAUUUCGAUUAUAAUAACGGCUAUUUAAAUGAUCCAUGAAACGAUAAGUUUAUUUUUUCAAAAAUUAAUUUAAUCGUACCGAUAACCGCAUCAGGUCUCCAAGGUGAGUAGCUUCUGGCCAUUGAGUAAUGGUAAUUUAGGGAAUUCGGCCAAUUAGAGCUGUAACUUCGGGAUAAAGCUUGGCUCUGAUGGAAAUCAGAACCGAUAGUUACAAGGAGAGCCCAACUGUUUAAUAAAAACUUAGUGUCGCGUCAUACCUUUAUAAGUAAUAAACGUGACAUGAAUCCUGCUCAGUGCUGUGUUUGUUAAACUGGAUUAAUCCAUUUAAGCGCCGGUAAAUAGCUGGGGUAACUAUGACUCUUAUCAAAGUAGCGAAAUACCUCGUCACUUAAUUAGUGACCUGCAUGAACGGAGCUAUGAGGUUCUCACUGUCCCAAAUUAUCACUCAGCGAACCAACAGUUGUGGGAACGGGCACAAAUUAUCCAGCGGGGAAAGAAGACCCUGUAGAGCUUCACUUUGGUCUAAUCUUGUAUAGUUUCGUUAGGGGUGCAGUCUAGGUGGGAGAUUUUUAAUCAAAUAUGAGAAACCACUACCCUUUCUGGAAUUAUACUUACUAAAAUUCUUUUCUAAAUUUUAGGAUCGGAUUAGAUAGAAAGUUUGGCUGGGGCGGCACACCUUCGAAAAAGCAGCGAAGGUGUCCUAAGUUAAGCUCAGUAAGGACAGAAAUCUUACGUUGAGGAUAAGGCCAAAAGCUUAAUUUACUGUGCCUUUUUGUACUAGGAUCAGUUUGGAAACAAAGGCCUAACGAUCCCUAAUUAGUCUUAGGUGUGUAAGACUUGGGGUGACAGACAAGUUACCUCCGGGACAACUGGCUUGUGGCUGCUAAGAGAUCAAAUCAACGCAGCUUUUUGAUUCUUCGAUGUCGGCUCUUCCUAUCCUAGUGAUGUACAAGUCACUAAGGGUUGGAUUGUUCACCCGUAUUAGGGAUCGUGAGCUGGGUUUAGACCGUCGUGAGCCAGGUUUGUUUUAUCCUACUGGAUAUAAUUUAGCAUCUUGAUAGUAGUUUGAUUUAGUACGAGAGGAACUGUUGAAUAUGGUCUCUGGUUUGGGAAUUUUAUGAAAAUAAAAGUUCCAAAGCUACGCCGUCUGAGAUAAUGGCUGAAGGCCUCUUAAGCCAGAAACUCAUCUAAAAAUAGAUGCUUUAAACUAUUUAAAAGAAUUAAAUUUAAAAUAUUUUUUUUAUUAAAAUUUGU
rnacentral:rRNA from 1 species